AGGGAGUUUGAUCCUGGCUCAGGACGAACGCUGGCGGCGUGCCUAACACAUGCAAGUCGAGCGGAGACACACGACGGAUAGGAAGUUUUCGGAUGGAAUUGAAGAUGUGUGUUUUAGCGGCGGACGGGUGAGUAACGCGUGAGCAACCUGUCCUUCACAGGGGGAUAACACAGCGAAAGUUGUACUAAUACCGCAUAAGACCACAGUAGGACAUCCUACAGGGGUCAAAGGAGCAAUCCGGUGAAGGGUGGGCUCGCGUCCGAUUAGAUAGUUGGUGAGGUAACGGCCCACCAAGUCAACGAUCGGUAGCCGACCUGAGAGGGUGAUCGGCCACAUUGGGACUGAGACACGGCCCAAACUCCUACGGGAGGCAGCAGUGGGGAAUAUUGGGCAAUGGGGGGAACCCUGACCCAGCAACGCCGCGUGAGGGAAGAAGGUUUUCGGAUCGUAAACCUCUGUCCUUGGUGAAGAGGAAGAGACGGUAGCCAAGGAGGAAGCCCCGGCUAACUACGUGCCAGCAGCCGCGGUAAUACGUAGGGGGCAAGCGUUGUCCGGAAUGAUUGGGCGUAAAGGGCGCGUAGGCGGCCCGGUAAGUCUGGAGUGAAAGUCCCGGUUUUAAGUUGGGAAUUGCUUUGGAUACUGUCGGGCUUGAGUGCAGGAGAGGUAAGUGGAAUUCCCAGUGUAGCGGUGAAAUGCGUAGAGAUUGGGAGGAACACCAGUGGCGAAGGCGACUUACUGGACUGUAACUGACGCUGAGGCGCGAAAGUGUGGGGAGCAAACAGGAUUAGAUACCCUGGUAGUCCCCU
rnacentral:rRNA from 1 species